CUACGGGCGGCUGCAGGUAGGAAUCUUUUGCAAUGCACGCAAGUGUGACAAAGUGAGCCAGAGUGCUUCUCAAUGAGAAGCUUUUGCCAAAUGUAAAAAGUUUGGCGAAUAAGGACUGGGUAAGACUAGUGCCAGCCGCCGCGGUAAUACUAGCGGUCCAAGUCGCAGCCACAUUUAUUGGGUCUAAAACAUCCGCAGCUUGUUCAGUAAGUUUCUUGUCAAAUUUAGCAUCUCAAGUGUUGAGCGUGCAAGAAGUACUACUGGGUUAGAGACUGGAAGACGUGGGAAGUACGGCCAAAGUAGCGGUAAAAUGCGUUAAUCUUGGCUGGACUACCAAUAGCGAAGGCAUCCUACGAGUACAGUUCUGACAGUAAGGGAUGAAGGCUAGGGGCGCAAAACGGAUUAGAUACCCGAGUAGUC
rnacentral:rRNA from 1 species